CGUUUGUGGCGAUUUGGGGGUUCUGUAGCAGUGCUGUGGCGGUGUGGUGACAGUGCUGUGACAGUGUGACGACGGUGCUGUAGUGGCGUGACGACGGUGCUGUGGCGGCGUGACCAGGGCUUCCACUAUCGCAAGGCGAGGCCAAUGUAGGGGUCUGUGACGAGAUGUGCCUAAUCUCUCAGGUCCUGGAAAUGAAUGGUUAAUCCCUUUCCACAUGGUAGGCUUACUGGAUCUGGCCUGAACCUUUUCUUCCUUAAAGACUA
rnacentral:sRNA from 1 species